rnacentral:rRNA from 1 species
AAGUAAGACUAAUACCCAAUGACGUCUCUAGAAGACAUCUGAAGGAGAUUAAAGAUUUAUCGGUGAUGGAUGGGGAUGCGUCUGAUUAGCUUGUUGGCGGGGUAACGGCCCACCAAGGCGACGAUCAGUAGGGGUUCUGAGAGGAAGGUCCCCCACAUUGGAACUGAGACACGGUCCAAACUCCUACGGGAGGCAGCAGUGAGGAAUAUUGGUCAAUGGGCGAGAGCCUGAACCAGCCAAGUAGCGUGCAGGAUGACGGCCCUAUGGGUUGUAAACUGCUUUUAUAAGGGAAUAAAGUGAGCCUCGUGAGGCUUUUUGCAUGUACCUUAUGAAUAAGGACCGGCUAAUUCCGUGCCAGCAGCCGCGGUAAUACGGAAGGUCCGGGCGUUAUCCGGAUUUAUUGGGUUUAAAGGGAGCGUAGGCCGGAGAUUAAGCGUGUUGUGAAAUGUAGACGCUCAACGUCUGCACUGCAGCGCGAACUGGUUUCCUUGAGUACGCACAAAGUGGGCGGAAUUCGUGGUGUAGCGGUGAAAUGCUUAGAUAUCACGAAGAACUCCGAUUGCGAAGGCAGCUCACUGGAGCGCAACUGACGCUGAAGCUCGAAAGUGCGGGUAUCGAACAGGAUUAGAUACCCUGGUAGUCCGCACGGUAAACGAUGGAUGCCCGCUGUUGGUCUGAAUAGGUCAGCGGCCAAGCGAAAGCAUUAAGCAUCCCACCUGGGGAGUAC